UCCUCCUCGUCUCCUCUGCGCAGCCGCCGCCCGUCUUCCUCCUCUCCUCUGCGCCGCCGCCGCUGCUCCCUUCCUCCUUCCCUCGCGUCGCCGCUCUCCUCCCUCCUUCCCCUUGUGCAGCCACGGCCCAUCUUCCUCCCCUUCCCACGGGGUGACGACGCACGAGCGGACGGACGUGGUGCCUCCCGCGGCAAGUCCGACGGCGACGAGAGCCUUCGCUCAGACCAAUUUCGCCUAGGGUGGUGGACGUGGUGGAGCCGCAGGGUUUGCUUACAACGCUUGUGGGCAGCACACCGCCGCCCAGUAUGUGGUUGCGUUGGAUGUUGUUGUUGGCGAGUUUGGGUUUUGUUUCGAAGCAAGCAAUAGCUGGACAAGAAGGUUAUCUUCCGAGCCACGGCAUUGAUCCGUUCGUGAUCGCUACUCACUCCGAUGGAGGCCAGGGAGCAUUUGUUUACUGGAUCUAUCCGCUGGGAGAUGGUAGCUCGGGAUAUCUUCAAACGGUUUGGAUGGCGGUCAUGUAAUAGGAUAGGCAAUUAGUUAACCUAUCUAUCUUUAGCCAGCCGGUUGUGGCGUCCCUUUUUUGGCUAGUUUAUCUUUCUAGCCCUUUUUGGCUCUGAGUGAGCUCUUUUUUUUCAGUUGGAGACCUUGAGACCUUGU